rnacentral:rRNA from 1 species
UACAGUGGGUGCAAGCGUUAAUCGGAAUUACUGGGCGUAAAGCGUGCGUAGACGGUUAUUUAAGUCAGGUGUGAAAGCCCCGGGCUCAACCUGGGAAUUGCAUUUGAGACUGAAUAGCUAGGGUGCGGAAGAGGGAAGCGGAAUUUCCGGUGUAGCGGUGAAAUGCGUAGAUAUCGGAAGGAACACCAGUGGCGAAAGCGGCUUCCUGGUCCAGCACCGACGUUCAGGCACGAAAGCGUGGGGAGCAAACAGG